UGACGCUGGAGUGAAGAGGAAAGGAACUGAUGUUCCCAAGUGGACCAGCAUCAUGACCGAGCAGAGCGUGUGCCACCUGCAGGAAGUAUUUGAUAGGUACAAGAGCUACAGCCCUUAUGACAUGUUGGAGAGCAUCAGGAAAGAGGUUAAAGGAGACCUGGAAAAUGCCUUCCUGAACCUGGUCCAGUGCAUUCAGAACAAGCCCCUGUAUUUUGCUGAUCGGCUGUACGACUCCUUGAAGGGCAAGGGGACUCCAGCUAAGGUCCUGAUCAGAAUCAUGGUCUCCCGCAGUGAAGUGGACGUGUUGAAAAUUAGGUCUGAAUUCAAGAGAAAGUACGGCAAGUCCCUGUACUAUUACAUCCAGCAAGACACUAAGGGUGACUACCAGAAAGCGCUGCUGUACCUGUGUGGUGGAGAUGACUGAAGCCCGGCGCGGUGUGAGCAUCCAGGAAUGGUGCUCCCUACGCUUCCAGCUAACAGGUCUAGAAAACCAGCUUGCGACUAACAGUCCCUAUCGCCGGCCCUGUGAGGAUGACCUUAACACUACCCCUACCCUCAUUCUAGUUGCCUAAGCAUUGCCUGGCUUUCCUGUCUAGUCUCUCCUGUAAGCCAAAGAAAUGAACAUGCCAAGGAGUUGGAAGUGAAAUCUGUGAUGUGAAACACUUUGCCUCCUGCGUACUGUGUCGUAAACAGUUGAAUAAACUGAAUUUGUACUUUAGAAACAA